UACGUAGGGUGCAAGCGUUAAUCGGAAUUACUGGGCGUAAAGCGUGCGCAGGCGGCUUUGCAAGACAGAUGUGAAAUCCCCGGGCUUAACCUGGGAACUGCAUUUGUGACUGCAUGGCUGGAGUGCGGCAGAGGGGAUGGAAUUCCGGCGUGUAGCAGUGAAAAUGCGUAGAUAUGCGGAGGAACACCGAUGGCGAAGGCAAUCCCCUGGGCCUGCACUGACGCUCAUGCACGAAAGCGUGGGGGAGCAAACAGG
rnacentral:rRNA from 1 species